rnacentral:rRNA from 1 species
AGUGAACGCUGGCGGUAGGCCUAACACAUGCAAGUCGAACGGCAGCACAGUAAGAGCUUGCUCUUACGGGUGGCGAGUGGCGGACGGGUGAGGAAUACAUCGGAAUCUACUUUUUCGUGGGGGAUAACGCAGGGAAACUUACGCUAAUACCGCAUACGACCUACGGGUGAAAGCAGGGGAUCUUCGGACCUUGCGCGAUUGAAUAAGCCGAUGUCGGAUUAGCUAGUUGGCGGGGUAAAGGCCCACCAAGGCGACGAUCCGUAGCUGGUCUGAGAGGAUGAUCAGCCACACUGGAACUGAGACACGGUCCAGACUCCUACGGGAGGCGGCAGUGGGGAAUAUUGGACAAUGGGCGCAAGCCUGAUCCAGCCAUACCGCGUGGGUGAAGAAGGCCUUCGGGUUGUAAAGCCCUUCUGUUGGGAAAGAAAAGCAGCAGGUUAAUACCCCGCUGUUCUGACGGUACCCAAAGAAUAAGCACCGGCUAACUUCGUG